rnacentral:rRNA from 1 species
AACAGGAUUAGAUACCCUGGUAGUCCACGCCCUAAACGAUGUCAACUAGUUGUCGGGUCUUAAUUGACUUGGUAACGCAGCUAACGCGUGAAGUUGACCGCCUGGGGAGUACGGUCGCAAGAUUAAAACUCAAAGGAAUUGACGGGGACCCGCACAAGCGGUGGAUGAUGUGGAUUAAUUCGAUGCAACGCGAAAAACCUUACCUACCCUUGACAUGGUCGGAAUCCCUGAGAGAUCAGGGAGUGCUCGAAAGAGAACCGGCGCACAGGUGCUGCAUGGCUGUCGUCAGCUCGUGUCGUGAGAUGUUGGGUUAAGUCCCGCAACGAGCGCAACCCUUGUCAUUAGUUGCUACGAAAGGGCACUCUAAUGAGACUGCCGGUGACAAACCGGAGGAAGGUGGGGAUGACGUCAAGUCCUCAUGGCCCUUAUGGGUAGGGCUUCACACGUCAUACAAUGGUACAUACAGAGGGCUGCCAACCCGCGAGGGGGAGCUAAUCCCAGAAAGUGUAUCGUAGUCCGGAUUGCAGUCUGCAACUCGACUGCAUGAAGUUGGAAUCGCUAGUAAUCGCGGAUCGGCAUGUCGCGGUGAAUACGUUCCCGGGUCUUGUACACACCGCCCGUCACACCAUGGGAGCGGGUUUUACCAGAAGUGGGUAGCCUAACCGCAAGGAGGGCGCUUACCACGGUAGGAUUCGUGACUGGGGUGAAGUCGUAACAAGGUAACC